AACACUAUGCCAGAUAAAUUGGGUUAUCUUGAUGAGGUAAAAUAUGGGGUUUAGCUUCUGGUGUUU
rnacentral:tRNA from 1 species